UGUUUUUAUUUUUUUUUCAUAUUUGUCAUAUAAAUAUUAUGUUUAGAGAUUAUGGAUAAAUUGUCAGUUACUUGUUCCUGUUUUGAGUCAUGACUCAUAUUAUCCCUUUACUAUAUGAUGGCAGACUUGGACAUCCAACAUUGUUAUUGCUGCCUUUUUCCUUAGUUAAUGCUAGAUGGAUCUCUGUCAUCUUUAUGGCCUGCAGUUCUUGGCUAUAGAUUGUGUGCUAAACCUUUUUAAGAUUUUGAAACAUUCAAGCUUUUGACAAUAUGGAUCCUUUCCAUGAAAUGGAUACUUUUCAUGAUGCAUGGAGAUUUUUGUUGUGUAUCCUUGAUGGUGUGUCACUUUGAUAGAUGAAUUCUUCUUCUUUGUGUAUCAAACACCAGCGAUAUGGCUCAUGUAUUGACGUUGGCUGAGACCCGUUUGAAAGAAGAGGUACUGUCUGUUACUGAAAGCAUCACAUACUGUAUGGAUUUACUCUAGUGAAAUUUGAGUAAUCCCUUCAUUUUUAUCUCAAAUAAGCUGUAGUUGGAAAGUGUUAGGGCAGUGGCAGCCAAAAAAGAAGCAGGACUAAUUUCUCAAUUGGAGGAGCAUGCAAGGCAACUCCAAAAAAGAGAUUCUUUAGGCGAUUAGUUGGCAUAAUUCGAGAAGGAAUAUGGAAAGUUCUAGGUGACAAAGCCUUGAAACCGUUUUCAGGAUCAUGUUACCUACCACACCCAGAUAAAGAAGAAACUGGUGGGGAGGAUGCACACUUCAUAUGUAUUGAUGAGCAAGCCAUUGGUAUGGCUGACGGUGUUGGUGGCUGGGCAGAUCUGGGCAUUAAUUCUGGACAAUAUGAUCGGGAGCCCAAGGGUUCCAUCGAUCCUGCAAGGGUAUUGGAAAAAAACCUAUCUGAGCACAAAAUCCAAGGGAUCAUCAACAGCCUGCAUUGUAGCACUCACUGACCAGGAGUUGCCAUCUUUUGAGCUUGUUGUUGGAAGAGCUUGAUCAGCCAGCUGCGGCACUGCAUUCUCACGAGUCCCGGUCUCCCAGGCUUGCUGCACUAAAUCGAUUCAAAUCCAGUCAAGUUCCUAUCUUGCUUACAACAGAUGUUGCCAGCCGUGGUUUAGAUAUUCCAACGGUUGAUCUUGUUGUGAACUAUGUUGUGAACUAUGAUAUUCCG